UUCUCUGCAUUUGAUACAUUGCCUUUUAUUGUUCUGCUCUGUGCAGCUUCGAGCUGGAUGUUCAAUCCACAGGCAGCAUUUUUGGAAGCUGAUGCAAAUUAAUUCCUCAGACAUUUCACUGAAGAGUACAGAACAUCUAGAAUUCUUUGGUUUGGAAACCACAGAAAAGGGAACAACAUGGAAAGCACUGUGCUGUCUGCUUGACUGGUUCAAAUGCAUCACUUCCUUCUGAUACAGCUUCAACACUGGAAUGAACUACAGACUGCACAGACCUUACCUUCAUAAACUUAAAUUUUGGAACAGGCCACCACUACUUUAAAGCCUGGGAAACUACUGAGUGCUUAAAGUGACUGACUUCAGGGCACGCAGGCAAUUUGAUUCUCAACCUGAAGUCCAGAGGAUUGAUCCUUAAAGGCAAGGAAUGAUGGUUUAAUCACACCAAAAGGAUACAGCAAUUAGAACUCAAACUAAAUCUGGACUUGUAGCAAGUGCUGGUGGAGAAAUUUGUGGGCUACUUGUUCUCCAUCUAGCACAUUCUCUCACAGUUAUAAGCUAUAGCAAGAACAAAAGGCUGUAAGAAGGACAAUGCAAUGUUUAUAAUACUGAGACAUCGUGCAGAUCUUUCAUUUGAAAGGGUUCAAAAGCAGUUAUUAGCUUGCAUAGGAAUCUUUUUAACUAUGAAAUGAAACUUCAGCUACAGUGAAAAGAGGCAAAAAGGCUCUGCGCAGAAACAAGACUGCAGAAUAUUUGAUGGCAGGAAAUGAAGUCUACCAAAAUCUUGUGCCAAGACAACAGAAAGAGGAAAAGAAGGGUUGGAUUAAAGAUGGAUGUCCUCUGUAGUCAAAACUAGAAGCAAGCAUUCUCUUAUUCAAUCUCCUGUUUAAUUUAAACACAAAAGACAGACAUCGGGUCCUUUCCCCUCCAGACUGCAUGUUUUGAAACUUGGGAAAACUCACUGGGGCAGGAGAGAAGAUUGUUAUUCUCUGCUGAUCUGCAGAUGGGUGACUCUAAAAGCCAAGGUACAGAAGCCUUUGAAUGGAGAUACAAAAUCUGGCAGCUGCACUUCUUGCACUACUGCCUGCAUUUUUAGGUUGUAUGGACUGGCAGAGAAAGGGUAUGAAUGCCUUGCCACAGUCUGAAUCAGUUUUUCCAGUGAAGAUCCUGGGAGAGAUCUGUCCUUGUUAUCUACUAAAAUGUUGACAAUGUAAGAAAGAAAAUCUAUUUUUAUCAUCAUCAUUAACUUCAAGGAAUAACCACUGCUAGCAGAAGGACAGCUUUGCUAAGAGGGAGCAGCGUAAGCCCAGCAACACUGCCCUGCCUAGGACUCCCACACCUCCACCAAUUUAGAUUUCAAAAGGAACAUAGCACCGGGGCAAGAACUGAUGGCAAUGAAUAACUCCAGGCAUGCAACUGAGAACAAAACAAGGCCGACAAACAUGCAUGGGAAAACCUGAUCUAAACUGUCAUUAUUAAACACCCCCCCAAAGCAGAUAAGGUCCAGCUGUAGCUGCGAAGAUGACAUUCCUCCCUGGAGAUAAGCCAGGAGGGGGGAGGUUGCAUCUCACCACCAUUGCCAUGAUGUUUGAGUUACUGCCAGCUAUGAAGUACAGAACUCAUCAUCUGUCAGUGACCUCCAAGAUCAGUCAAAGUUUUCAUUGCUCAGAAAGGAAAACCAUACUGAAAGUGAAACAUCUGUUAGGAGAAUAAGCUUCAUUUUAUGGUGUUUGCUCUAUGCAGAUACAUGCCUAUAAUCUCAGACCAUGUUUGCUAUAACACGCUGACUCACUGCCUCUCUUCACUGCACUGUUCUGAUGCCUGAAGUCACCUUGACUGGAGCAAGUAUUCAUUUCUGUCAGUGGUGUUUUAAAUGUUUGCAUUCACAGAAUUAUCAAAGCGAGCAUGAGUAGAUUUGGAGCAGCUUCUCGCCCAGUGGCCCUUCCAGAGCUCAGCUCUGGGUGCAUACCCAGCAGCCACCAAGUCUUUCCUUACACAUAGUGUGGAGUGUAAAGUCACAGUAGUAUUCAAAAGGUUAAAGCAGAGUGAACUGUUAAUUUUAAUGCUUUCUCUAAGCUUCAGUUUUAAUAAGCGAAAAUGAUGUUCUUAU